rnacentral:tRNA from 1 species
AGUUCAGCUGGUUAGAAUGCCGCCCUGUCACGGCGGAGGUCGCGGGUUCGAGUCCCGUCCGGA